rnacentral:tRNA from 1 species
CGGGCCAGUAUCUUUAGAGGGUUUCUUCGUUUACACUGAAGAAUUUGCCGUGCGAUUCGGUGUGGUCUGA